CCUGGGGAGAUCUUUGCGCUACUGCAUCAGUGUGAGAUGCCAGUCUGCAUAGCCUCUGUAAGUUAUCUCUGGAGAUAGAGGCAACGGAGGCCAAUUCAGACCACCUGGAUUAGACUGCUUCUCUGACUCACCCUCUGAAUCAUGUGCUCUGAAUAACCUAAGACCCAUGAAAUAAAAGACAAACCCAGAGAGGUAAAAGGGCACCUUGCUCCCCACCACCCCUGGGAAGGAUCCCAGGGCAGGUCUCUUCUCAUGACUCUGUGCCUGCAGUCCAGGAAACCUGCAUUCCUCCACAAGUUUUCUGUAGGACUUCAGCAAGGCUUUGCAGAAAGAACAGCUCUGAUAAGGACCUUUGCACACUGAUGUCCCUUCAAUGUCUCCUUCUGGCUACUCCAUUCUGCAUUUAUUGUACACAGUCAGCUGAACAUGCUAGAUCCCAGGAACUCGUGGUGUUCUUGCCCGGAGCAGGAGUGGUACCAGAUGGGAUAUCCAACUUGAACCUCCCCUAAGGAGGAGUCAAAACAUGCUGUUCCCUCGGGUCCUGUCGCUGUCCCCAGGGAGCAGAGCUCAGUGCCUGCCCCUCCGCUCCCCUCGUGAGGGAGCUGCAGGCCGCCAUGAGGCCUCCCCUCAGCCUGCUCUGCUCUGGGCUGAACAAACCAAGGGACCUCAGCCGCUCCUCACACGUCUUGACCUCUAGACCCUUCACCACUCUUGUAGCCAUCCUUUGGCCAUUACCUAAUAGUUUUAAUUCCUUCUUAUGUUGUGGUGCCCCAAACUGCACACAGUGCCCGAGGUGAGGCCGCACAGCACAGAGCAGAGCAGGACAAUCCCUUUCCUUGACUGACUGGUGAUGCUGGGCCUGAGGCACCCCAUGCUGACCCUCCUGGCUGCCAGGGCAAACUGAUGACUCAAAUUCCACUUGCUGUCAACCAGAACCCCAGAUCCCUUUUCACAGGGCUGCUCUCCAGCCUCUUGGCCCUCAUCUGUAUAUACAGACAGGGCUGUCCUAUCUCAGGUGCAGAAUCCAGAACUUGGUCAUGUGGAAGGAGUAGAGGACUGAAAAGCCCACUCCAUGCUGAGGGGAUAGGCUCUCUUUCACCGGCUUUCUCUCAUGUUACUUGUGUCACAGGAUAACUUGCAUUGAUGCUGAAGUGAAGAGGAUUUUGACAGGUAGACUGCAAGCUAUGCUUGUGAAAGUGUGGUGUCAUGUAUCUGUUCAUGACUGCAGCUCACGCCCUCUGCAACAAACAUAGCAAAUGAACCCUGGGCUUUCAGGUGAACUGAGGCAUGCCUUCUCUUUAAACUGGAAAACAGAUCGUGUACCAGCACAGCAAAAAUUGCCUCUUCCAGUCUUCAGUCACAUCUUGGUGAAGCGCUUCGGGAGCUGACAGACCCAGAUCUGAGGCACUCCUCUGCCUCCACAUCAGUGCUGAGCUCCCCAUCAUCAGGACUGUUCAGGG